GGGUUGUGAGGUUAAGCGACUAAGCGUACACGGUGGAUGCCCUGGCAGUCAGAGGCGAUGAAGGGCGUGCUAAUCUGCGAUAAGCGCCGGUAAGGUGAUAUGAACCGUUAUAACCGGCGAUACCCGAAUGGGGAAACCCAGUGUGAUUCGUCACACUAUCAUUACGUGAAUACAUAGCGUAAUGAAGCGAACCGGGGGAACUGAAACAUCUAAGUACCCCGAGGAAAAGAAAUCAACCGAGAUUCCCCCAGUAGCGGCGAGCGAACGGGGAGGAGCCCAGAGCCUGAAUCAGCAUGUGUGUUAGUGGAAGCGUCUGGAAAGGCGCGCGAUACAGGGUGACAGCCCCGUACACAAAAGCGCAUGUGUUGUGAGCUCGAUGAGUAGGGCGGGACACGUGGUAUCCUGUCUGAAUAUGGGGGGACCAUCCUCCAAGGCUAAAUACUCCUGACUGACCGAUAGUGAACCAGUACCGUGAGGGAAAGGCGAAAAGAACCCCGGCGAGGGGAGUGAAAAAGAACCUGAAACCGUGUACGUACAAGCAGUGGGAGCACCCUUUGGGGUGUGACUGCGUACCUUUUGUAUAAUGGGUCAGCGACUUAUAUUCUGUAGCAAGGUUAACCGAAUAGGGGAGCCGGAGGGAAACCGAGUCUUAAUUGGGCGUUAAGUUGCAGGGUAUAGACCCGAAACCCGGUGAUCUAGCCAUGGGCAGGUUGAAGGUUGGGUAACACUAACUGGAGGACCGAACCGACUAAUGUUGAAAAAUUAGCGGAUGACCUGUGGCUGGGGGUGAAAGGCCAAUCAAACCGGGAGAUAGCUGGUUCUCCCCGAAAGCUAUUUAGGUAGCGCCUCGUGAACUCAUCUCCGGGGGUAGAGCACUGUUUCGGCUAGGGGGCCAUCCCGGCUUACCAACCCGAUGCAAACUGCGAAUACCGGAGAAUGUUAUCACGGGAGACACACGGCGGGUGCUAACGUCCGUCGUGAAGAGGGAAACAACCCAGACCGCCAGCUAAGGUCCCAAAGUCAUAGUUAAGUGGGAAACGAUGUGGGAAGGCCCAGACAGCCAGGAUGUUGGCUUAGAAGCAGCCAUCAUUUAAAGAAAGCGUAAUAGCUCACUGGUCGAGUCGGCCUGCGCGGAAGAUGUAACGGGGCUAAACUAUGCACCGAAGCUGCGGCAGCGACACUAUGUGUUGUUGGGUAGGGGAGCGUUCUGUAAGCCUGUGAAGGUGGCCUGUGAGGG
rnacentral:rRNA from 1 species